UACGUAGGGACCAAGCGUUGUUCGGAUUUACUGGGCGUAAAGGGCGCGUAGGCGGCCUUCUAAGUCAGACGUGAAAUCCCCAGGCUUAACUUGGGAACUGCGUCUGAUACUGGGAGGCUUGAGUGCGGGAGAGGGAUGUGGAAUUCCAGGUGUAGCGGUGAAAUGCGUAGAUAUCUGGAGGAACACCGGUGGCGAAGGCGGCAUCCUGGACCGACACUGACGCUGAGGCGCGAAAGCUAGGGGAGCAAACGGG
rnacentral:rRNA from 1 species